UAUUGUUACAGUAUAAUGUCAUGAAUGUUUUGUUGUGGUGCACGAUUGUGGCGUCACUGUACACCACUGGAUCUGGAUACUACUCUCAGCCGAUCUGCAAUCCCACGCUGGGGUACUGCGCCAAGUUUUUCAACAUGACCAAGCUGCCGAACAAGUUCAACGAGGAUAGUUACGCUCGGGUCGUCAAGAUACAGAUGCACUAUGCAGACAUAGCUACCAGCGAGUGCCACCCCUACGUUGACCUCAUGAUCUGCUCUACCCUCUUCCCUGCCUGUACCGGCGGCUACGAUAUCACCCUACCGUGUUACGACUUCUGCGAGGAGGUAAAAACAUCUUGUGGUCCAUUCAUCAAGAAAGCCAGGAUACCAUGGCCGUUCUACUUCGAAUGCCUUGAUCUGCCGAGGAAAAAGAGGGGCAGGUUCUGCAUAGACGAGAAGUUCACUCUGGCUGACCUGGAGAAGAUAAAACCACCCAAACCUCCAGUUCAGCAAGUUGAGCAGGAAGAAGAGAAGAAGACGGACCCAGUGGUCGAAGACAGAGAUCUCUCUAUCUCCACCCCCUGGUCGGGAAUCUACACCAAUGAUCCAGAAAUCAAGAACUGGGGUCUCGAGCUGGUAACCACUCCUGUUGCUAGCAGGAAGGAUAUCAGAGAAUACGAGGAGUGCUCCGAGCCGAUACUCUUCUCGGUUUCUGAACAAAACACCACUCGAGUCUGGAUCAUGGCAUGGUCAAGCAUUGCACUCUCACUCUCCUUCGUCAUGCUCUUCGUCGUGACAUCACACGGAAAAGUCAACAAACCAGAGAAUAUCAUCGUCAUCAUCUGCUUCUGUUUCCUCUUCCAAGCAGCCGGCUUCCUCCUGUCUGUCAUGGUUCCCCAGUCCCCCUUCAAGUGUUCCAUCGUGGAGAAGCCUGGAGACCCGAUCUACUUGAAAACCAACAGUCCCUCUCCUACCUGCUACCUCACCUUCACUGCCACUUACUUCAGCGGACUAGCAGCUAAUCUGUGGUGGGUGACCCUCAACCUCCUCUGGUUCCUGAUGCUUGGGAUGAACUGGAGCAGUGACGGCAGCAUCUUCAAAGUGUUCCGGUACCUGCAUCUUGUGAUCGGUGGACUAGCUGGAGGUCUCACCAUCACGAUCCUGGCUGUUGGAGCAGUGGAGGGUGAUGAUCUAUCCGGUGGGUGUAUGGCCGGUGGAGUACACCCCGAGAACCUAGCAACCUACGAUCUGACACCUAACUGUGUGCUCCUCAGUAUAGGUGGGGUGGUCCUCCUCUGUGGAACUUACACUCUCGUCAAGAUCUCCAGGAUUGACGGCUACAGACUGACCCACGAUAUACCAGUUCAGCGCCUGAAGAACACAGCUAUAUUCUCCUACGGCUACCUUCUCAUCUCUCUCAUUAAAACACUCUGUCAGUUCUACGAACUAACCUACCGUUCAGAUUGGUACAAAAACUGUGACCCUAACAUCAAAACAAACUAUACCAGCCUAGAGCUGAACAAUCUCACUCACACAGACAAUAGCACAGCAGGUAUCCUCGACAACAAUUCGUCUUGCGGGCCUGAUGUGCGAAUAUUUAUUACGAAAUAUACUUGUUAUCUAUUGUUACCUAUUUUAGUUUCGUGUCAUUUGAAGAACACUGUUAGUAUUUUGGACAUUAUUAAACGGCUUGUACCGCUUGCAAAAGGGUACACUCACAGAUCCGGAGAAACGAAAGUUUAAAAUAUAUCCUUGUGUUUGGUUUUUUGUCUGCUUUAAAUUUGAAUGUUUUCAUCAAAUUUUAAAAUUUGAUCUACAUUAGAUCUGAAUUAUUCACGAAUUAUUAUUGAAGGAUUUAUCGUUAAAUACGCUUUGCUUAUUUUAGCACCUACAUCUUUAUGAAAAAGAGAAAAGUGAUCAUCGAGCCAAUGGACCAAAAAAUUAAAGCGACGAGUCAUGUUUAUUGUAAAAUGUCAAGUACGAAUCAAAAUACAAACACCAAAGGUCAAUAUUUUGACCGACGGCUGGUCAAAAAGCGGGUAACAAAAACGGUCCAGGAAAUGGCUUAUUAAAUUAGCCGCGGCAGUAUCGUCAAUGUUUACAACCCGGUCUCAACUCUCAAUGAAUAUUACUUAUUGGCACGGACUCCACCGAGAGUGCGAAGUUCAACUGAAGCUGCAAACUUUUAGGGGAUCAGUAAUUCGAUUCCGAACUCCAGAAACUCUGUUUGCCUUCAAAUUUACCGGCAAUCCAGUAAUAUGCACGUUCUUUCUCUCUCCCCUCCGUAACUGGACUAUAUUCAAAACGGUAUCCGUAUAUUGAAUAUAUAUAUAUUGAAUAUUUCGCACAUUACUUUUGUCACUCGUGAGGGUCCUUUAUCAGUCCAUUGAAGUGUCAGAAAUGUAUUGUUGAUUGUAGUUUUAAGAAGCCGCGAACGCCGUCCAAAGACCAUACUGCUAUUGCUAAUUCUCUAAUUUGUGUUCUGCGCUACUCGCUCUCAGCUGUCUCCUCAACAUGGAGGUAGAACAGGACGACCAAAGGGGCUGUGACCGACUACUUCAUCCAAUCAGAUCCAGCUCCAACAUCUUUUCCAAAGUACACAAACAUUCGGAGUUAAGAGAUAAUUUUAACGUCUAUGAGGCGGUUAGUUGUGCGGGUUCCUUGAAGACAAGAUCCCAAAAUAAAACAGCACCAACGAUGUCGACCGACUCAGGUUACAGUGAGGGAAAUGAUCAGAAGCUGAUGAGACCUCGCUCAGUUCCCUGAAUAGGCAGAAUUCAGCAGCAUCUAGCACCGGAUCUGUAUUUAGCACGGGGUCUCAUGGAACUGAAGAGAAUCAUGACAGCGAGAAGAAUGAUCAGUUUGUGAGCUCCACAGAGCGAUUCAGAGCCACACAGCAUACAUCAUCAUCAGAUGCUUCAGCUUGUGAAGAAGUAUUUGACGAAUUUACCCCAACCAUCGAGGAACGCACCCCAACCUCCAACCAUUCUGACAAGGAC